GACUCCAAAUAUGAUUGACAGAUUGAGAGCUCUUUCUUGAUCUUUUGGAUGGUGGUGCAUGGCCGUUCUUAGUUGGUGGAGUGAUUUGUCUGCUUAAUUGCGAUAACGAACGAGACCUCGGCCCUUAAAUAGCCCGGUCCGCAUUUGCGGGCCGCUGGCUUCUUAGGGGGACUAUCGGCUCAAGCCGAUGGAAGUGCGCGGCAAUAACAGGUCUGUGAUGCCCUUAGAUGUUCUGGGCCGCACGCGCGCUACACUGACAGGGCCAGCGAGUACAUCACCUUGGCCGAGAGGCCUGGGUAAUCUUGUUAAACCCUGUCGUGCUGGGGAUAGAGCAUUGCAAUUAUUGCUCUUCAACGAGGAAUGCCUAGUAGGCACGAGUCAUCAGCUCGUGCCGAUUACGUCCCUGCCCUUUGUACACACCGCCCGUCGCUACUACCGAUUGAAUGGCUCGGUGAGGCCUCCGGACUGGCUCAAGAGGGUUGGCAUCCACCCCCCAUAGCCGGAAAGCUGGUCAAACCCGAGCAGGGAAAUGCGAAAACUAAUGUGAAUUGAAGAAUGCAGUGAAUCAUCGAGUCUUUGAACGCACAUUGCGCCCCAUGGUAUUCCGGGGGGCAUGCCUGUCCGAGCGUCAUUUCUCCCCUCCAGCCCCGCUGAUAGUUGGGCCGCUCCCCCCCGGGGGCGGGCCUCGAGAGAAACGGCGGCACCGUCCGGUCCUCGAGCGUAUGGGGCUCUGUCACCCGCUUUAUGGGCCCGGCCGGGGCUUGCCUCGACCCCCAAUUUUCUCAAGAAUUGAACCCA
rnacentral:rRNA from 1 species